AGUGAACGCUGGCGGCGUGCUUAACACAUGCAAGUCGAACGAGAACGGAUUAUAGCUUGCUAUAAUUGUCAGCUAAGUGGCGCACGGGUGAGUAAUGUAUAGGUAAUAUGCCUCUUACUAAGGGAUAACAAAUGGAAACGUUUGCUAAUACCUUAUACUCCUUAUUAACAGAAGUUAAUAAGGGAAAGAUUUAUUGGUAAGAGAUUAGCCUGUAUUGUAUCAGUUAGUUGGUGGGGUAAUGGCUUACCAAGACUAUGACACAUAACUGGUUUGAGAGGAAGAGCAGUCACACUGGAACUGGGACACGGUCCAGACUCCUACGCGAGGCAGCAGUGGGGAAUAUUGCACAAUGGACGAAAGUCUGAUGCAGCAACGCCGCGUGGAGGAUGACACAUUUCGGUGCGUAAACUCCUUUUAUAUGAGAAGAUAAUGACGGUAUUAUAUGAAUAAGCACCGGCUAACUCCGUGCCAGCAGCCGCGGUAA
rnacentral:rRNA from 1 species